rnacentral:rRNA from 1 species
AUUGAACGCUGGCGGCAGGCCUAACACAUGCAAGUCGAGCGGAUGAGGGUAGCUUGCUAUCUGAUUCAGCGGCGGACGGGUGAGUAAUGCCUAGGAAUCUGCCUGGUAGUGGGGGACAACGUUUCGAAAGGAACGCUAAUACCGCAUACGUCCUACGGGAGAAAGUGGGGGAUCUUCGGACCUCACGCUAUCAGAUGAGCCUAGGUACGAUUAGCUAGUUGGUGAGGUAAAGGCUCACCAAGGCGACGAUCGUUAACUGGUCUGAGAGGAUGAUCAGUCACACUGGAACUGAGACACGGUCCAGACUCCUACGGGAGGCAGCAGUGGGGAAUAUUGGACAAUGGGCGAAAGCCUGAUCCAGCCAUGCCGCGUGUGUGAAGAAGGUCUUCGGAUUGUAAAGCACUUUAAGUUGGGAGGAAGGGCAGUAAGUUAAUACCUUGCUGUUUUGACGUUACCGACAGAAUAAGCACCGGCUAACCUCGUGCCAGCCGCCGCAGUAAGAC